rnacentral:rRNA from 1 species
GAUGAACGCUGGCGGCGUGCCUAAUACAUGCAAGUCGAACGAAGAUCUAGCUUGCUAGAUCUUAGUGGCGAACGGGUGAGUAAUACAUAAAUAAUCUGCCCAUAUGACUGGGAUAACUAUUGGAAACGAUAGCUAAUACCGGAUAGGUUGAUUGGAGGCAUCUCUGAUUAAUUAAAGUAGGAUUUCUACACAAAUGGAUGAGUUUAUGGCGCAUUAGUUAGUUGGUGGGGUAACGGCCUACCAAGACGAUGAUGCGUAGCCGACCUGAGAGGGUGACCGGCCACACUGGGACUGAGACACGGCCCAGACUCCUACGGGAGGCAGCAGUAGGGAAUUUUCGGCAAUGGGCGCAAGCCUGACCGAGCAACGCCGCGUGAGUGAUUAAGGCCUUCGGGUUGUAAAGCUCUGUUGUAAGGGAAGAACAUUCAGGAUAGGAAAUGAUCUUGAACUGACGGUACCUUACCAGAAAGCCACGGCUAACUACGUGCCAGCCGCCGCGGUAA